AGACAGAAAGACGGCUUCUUAUUGGUGCGGAUGACAGGCUGGUUGGAGGUAAAACCAGUACCGGACUCUGCUGCUCCCGAUCACCGGAUCUUCAGUAUCGUUCAACUCAAGUGUUGGGAGCGUAUUAUGAGGCGAAGGCAGAAAACUUCAACAACACACUCACCUGCUGGGGAAAGGAAAGGGCACUAUUCUUCUAAAAGAACUAGCUACAAGAUGUAGUCCUGGGUUUAUCUGACCGCCUGUCUUUAACUUGUUCGCUGCUAUUACUACAAGUUGGGUCUCCUCGGGGAAUGUGAAGAAUUCUGCCUCGGUUGGUGUCAGAAAAGAGCCGGGUUGGAUUCUCGGAACCGGAUUGAAAUGUUUCGACAGGUGAUCGGGAUAUAAUUCUGAAUCGACUUUUAAAAAAUGAUUAGAUUGCUGUCAAUAUAAACGUUCUGGAGAUUGCUCGCCACAUCCGAUCCAUCACAUCAACCCGACGAGGUUCUGCGAUGGUCCAGGCCUUAUCUCCAUCAAAUAUGAUAUGUGACAGAACCCCACAGGCAUUGUACGACACCUCAAUCCCAUCUGCAUU